GAUGAACGCUGGCUACAGGCUUAACACAUGCAAGUCGAGGGGAAACGACGGGGAAGCUUGCUUCCCCGGGCGUCGACCGGCGCACGGGUGAGUAACGCGUAUCCAACCUGCCUCUGACUGAGGGAUAACCCGUCGAAAGUCGGCCUAAUACCUCAUGGUAUCGUCUGCGGGCAUCCAACGACGAUUAAAGAUUUCAUCGGUCAGGGAUGGGGAUGCGUCUGAUUAGCUUGUUGGCGGGGUAACGGCCCACCAAGGCUACGAUCAGUAGGGGUUCUGAGAGGAAGGUCCCCCACAUUGGAACUGAGACACGGUCCAAACUCCUACGGGAAGCAGCAGUGAGGAAUAUUGGUCAAUGGGCGAGAGCCUGAACCAGCCAAGUAGCGUGCAGGAAGACGGCCCUAUGGGUUGUAAACUGCUUUUAUGCGGGGAUAAAGUGAGGGACGUGUCCCUCAUUGCAGGUACCGCAUGAAUAAGGACCGGCUAAUUCCGUGCCAGCAGCCGCGGUAAUACGGAAGGUCCUGGCGUUAUCCGGAUUUAUUGGGUUUAAAGGGAGCGUAGGCCUUGGAUUUAGUGUGUUGUGAAAUUGCAGGGUGU
rnacentral:rRNA from 1 species